CCACUUCCGGCUUUUUCUUUAUGUGGUGCUGAGGAAUCGAAUCCAGGGCUUCAUGCAUGCUAGGCAAGCAUUCUACCACUAAGCCACAUUCCCAGCCCUUGCCUGCAGUUCUUAAGAUCCUUAUCUUAUGGGAGCCAGCUUUUUUUUUCUACUCUGAAUCUCUUCACUUUUGGUUUGUUCUGUGCUAUUCAGGCCUGCUGCAUCUGGGCAUUGCUCAAGUGUGCUUUCUGCCUAGCAUGUUCUUUCAUUUUUCUGCUUCUCCAAACAUUUCAUAUUAAGCUCUCUGGCUCUUAAAACCUCCAGGGAUCUCUUUCUUCCCACACCCUUGAUUAAAAUUUGCCUUAUGAAUAAUUUGAAACUUGCAAAUUUGUUGUUUAUGUGUUAGAUUUUAUUCCUUAGGAAUAAAACUUUUGAGAUCAAGAAUUGUGCUCUUUACUGUUCUACCUUACAGUAAAAGAUCAGAAACAUCAUUAGUACCUUGUAAACUCGCCAUAUUACUUGAUUAGUGGUUUUAAUCUUAAAUAUGCUAAUGAUAAAAGUCACAUUCAAAUGAUAGAUUUAGCUUUUUACUAAAUUAUUAAAGUACUAAAUUGAGUGUAUUCUUAAUGAACAGUAUACUAGGUUGAGUAUAAUCUUAAAGUUCAUUCCCAGAGCCAGUAAUUUAUAUAAAACUUGAAUUGUUCAUCUAAACUAUGAUUCUGCAUGUAAGCUGAAGAAUCCAGAAAACAAAUUAGACUGAAUGCUGGGAGAAUGAUACACCACUGGCACCAUUCCAAAUGCUUAGCUGAGAAUUCUGUCCACUGUGUUCAGGCAGGGCACCAAUCAUUGCUUAGUUCAUAGGAACCACUAUGGAGAGUGAAGCAUAUAAUGUCAUUUUCGUUAUUGCAUUCAGUUUCUUCAUAUUUUCAUGGCUCAGCUGAAUCUUUCUGUAUGUUUAUUAUUCUCUAAUGUUAUGUCUUUUUUCAAGAAAUUAAUAUUGAGAAAACUUGUGAGGAAAGCAAUGUGAGGAAACUAAUAGAAGUUUUGCUGUUUUUUAUUUUUAGAAAUGAUUGAAACAUUAACCCAGUUUUAAGCAACCCUACUGUUUUCAGAUAUAAAGUAAAAUACACUUCUACUCUUUAAAACCAGUUCAAUGUAAAAUUGUGACUUGCAUUAAAAAGAUGAUGAUUGUUGUCCUUCCCAUGGAAGUUAAUGAAGAGGAAGGUGGAAACCAGCUGCUGAAUCAAACAUUGGAAUGUUUUUUAAUCAAUUCUUAAGAAAAGUCAUUAGUUAUUCAUAUGCAUUUGAUAUCUUAUAAAUGUUAUCUUUUUCUUUUGCUGACUUAGCAGAAAUAGGGUAAAUGCCUUGAACCUAGGGACAUGCCAGGGUCUUUGGAUCAGAUAAAACUUUCGAGAUACUCCUAAUUCACAGGAUAGUUAUUAUUCCCUAAAGUA